rnacentral:rRNA from 2 species
AGUAAAUUGGUUAAGUUAGAAAGGGCGCACGGUGGAUGCCUUGGCACUAGGAGCCGAAGAAGGACGGGACUAACACCGAUAUGCUUUG